CCGGACGGCAGGCAGGCAUACGUCACCAACGUCGCCUCCAACGCGGUGUCGGUGCUCGGCACCGCGCGCUGACGGCUCGGUGUCGUCCCGCCUGGGC
rnacentral:tRNA from 1 species